rnacentral:rRNA from 1 species
AACGAACGCUGGCGGCAUGCCUAACACAUGCAAGUCGAACGGGUGCCCUCGGGUGCUAGUGGCGCACGGGUGCGUAACGCGUGGGAAUCUGCCCUUUGGUUCGGAAUAACAGUUGGAAACGACUGCUAAUACCGGAUGAUGACGAAAGUCCAAAGAUUUAUCGCCAGAGGAUGAGCCCGCGUAGGAUUAGCUAGUUGGUGUGGUAAAGGCGCACCAAGGCGACGAUCCUUAGCUGGUCUGAGAGGAUGAUCAGCCACACUGGGACUGAGACACGGCCCAGACUCCUACGGGAGGCAGCAGUGGGGAAUAUUGGACAAUGGGCGAAAGCCUGAUCCAGCAACGCCGCGUGAGUGAUGAAGGCCUUAGGGUUGUAAAGCUCUUUUACCCGGGAUGAUAAUGACAGUACCGGGAGAAUAAGCUCCGGCUAACUCCGUGCCAGCAGCCGCGGUAAUACGGAGGGAGCUAGCGUUGUUCGGAAUUACUGGGCGUAAAGCGCACGUAGGCGGCUUUGUAAGUUAGAGGUGAAAGCCUGGAGCUCAACUCCAGAACUGCCUUUAAGACUGCAUCGCUUGAAUCCAGGAGAGGUGAGUGGAAUUCCGAGUGUAGAGGUGAAAUUCGUAGAUAUUCGGAAGAACACCAGUGGCGAAGGCGGCUCACUGGACUGGUAUUGACGCUGAGGUGCGAAAGCGUGGGGAGCAAACAGG